rnacentral:misc_RNA from 1 species
AACGCAAGUUGCGCCCUAAGCCGUCAGGCCGAGGGCACGCCUGCCUGGGUGUCACGCAUCGUCGUCCCCCCCACCCUUUGCAACUCUGCUCGGGUGAACAAGGAGACGGAUAUUGGUCUCCCGCGUGUUGCCGCACGCGGUUGGCCCAAAUCUAAGCCAAGGGCACGGAGCGUCCUGACUAGCGGUGGUGUAAGAUGCCUCGUUGUAAAGUCGGAUGUUUGCGUCUCAACAUGGUUUCAUGACCCUACGCGAGUCACAAAGCUGACUCUCCAUACGCGACCCCAGGUCAGGCGGGAUCACCCGCUGAGUUUAA